rnacentral:rRNA from 1 species
GAUGAACGCUGGCGGCGUGCCUAAUACAUGCAAGUCGAGCGAACAGACGAGGAGCUUGCUCCUUUGACGUUAGCGGCGGACGGGUGAGUAACACGUGGAUAACCUACCUAUAAGACUGGGAUAACUUCGGGAAACCGGAGCUAAUACCGGAUAACAUGUUGAACCGCAUGGUUCAACAGUGAAAGACGGUCUUGCUGUCACUUAUAGAUGGAUCCGCGCCGCAUUAGCUAGUUGGUAAGGUAACGGCUUACCAAGGCAACGAUGCGUAGCCGACCUGAGAGGGGGAUCGGCCACACUGGAACUGAGACACGGUCCAGGCUCCUACGGGAGGCAGCAGUAGGGAAUCUUCCGCAAUGGGCGAAAGCCUGACGGAGCAACGCCGCGUGAGUGAAGAAGGUCUUCGGAUCGUAAAACUCUGUUAUUAGGGAAGAACAAAUGUGUAAGUAACUAUGCACGUCUUGACGGUACCUAAUCAGAAAGCCACGGCUAACUACGUG